rnacentral:rRNA from 1 species
AUGGGGGGCACCCUGACCGAGCAACGCCGCGUGGAGGAUGACGGUUUUUGGAUUGUAAACUCCUUUUCUCAGGGAAGAGUGAGGACGGUACCUGAGGAAUAAGUCACGGCUAACUACGUGCCAGCAGCCGCGGUAAUA